AUGCCGCUUCUACAGUGGUUAUCCCCUUUGUGGAAGGCACCACCCUUGAAGAUUAAGAUUUUUGUAUGGCAGCUUCUCCGUGACCGUCUGCCUUCGGGGACCGAGGUGCUGAAAUGCCAUGGUCCGGGCAAUGGCCUUUGCCCUUUGUGCCAUGUCCCGGAAACGGGAACGCACACUUUGUUUUCUUGCCUAGUAGUGCAGGCACUUUGGUGCUUUGUUUGUGAGACUCUAGGGCCAGAGUGGGAGGCUCAGGACCUAGCAGAGUUUCCGCAUGUUAGGGCUACUCAGAUUGGCCGUAAGCGUCGACUGUUCUGGCUCAUCUUUGCGGCUAUGAUGUGGACUCUCUGGACUACUCGCAACAAGAUGGUGAUUGAGCGGGUGUCCCCGCGGCGUGCUUCUGACUCGUUCUUCAAAUUUCUUGCCUUCCCGCAGCAUUGGCAUCCGCUCGCUAGGCCGAGGGAUCAUGAUCGCCUUCAGCUUUUCCUGGAUGCCCUGGUGUCUACCGCGCGUCAGCUCUCCGAUCGCUCGUCGGUCCCGUAG
rnacentral:rRNA from 1 species